rnacentral:lncRNA from 10 species
CCGGCCUGGAGCCCGCUCUAGGUGGGUGUCCCCUCGGUGCUUCCCAGCUGCCGUCUGCACCAGCCAUGGACUGCUACACGGCGAACUGGAACCCACUCGGGGACUCUGCCUUUUACCGAAAUAUGCCUGUGCAAUUGGCCGAGCGUGGUGGCUCACGCCUGUAAUCCCAGCACUUUGGGAGGCUGAGGCAGGCAGAUCACGAGGUCAAGAGUUCGAGAUCAGCCUGGCCAACAUGAUGAAACCCCGUCUCUACUAGAAAUACAAAAAUUUGCCGGGCGUGGUGGCACACACCUAUAAUCCCAGCUACUCGGGAAGCUGAGGCAGGAGAAUUGCUUGAACCUGGGAGGCGGAGGUUGCGGUGAGCCAAGAUCGCACCACUGUACUCCAGCCUGGGCAACAGAGCAAGACUCCAUCUUGGGGAAAAAAAAAAAAGAAAAGAAAUAUGCCUGUGCAGUAUGAAAAAAUUGCAAAAACUUCAUUAAAAAUCCAUAAAUGCAGUAGGAAAUGAUUUCAACUUGUUUCUGUGGAGAAGGAAUUUCAGCUGACCAAGGUAGCCAUGUCAUUUAGUAUUUACACACCAGCUAGUUGAUACAACAUUCACUUUUAAAAUAUCAACUUUACUUGUAU